rnacentral:rRNA from 1 species
UACGUAGGGUGCAAGCGUUGUCCCGGAAUUAUUGGGGCGUAAAGAGCUCGUAGGUGGUUUGUCGCGUUGUUCGUGAAAACUCACAGCUCAACUGUGGGCGUGCGGGCGAUACGGGCAGACUAGAGUACUGCAGGGGAGACUGGAAUUCCUGGUGUAGCGGUGGAAUGCGUAGAUAUCUGGAGGAACACCGGUGGCGAAGGCGGCAUCCUGGACCCGGUAUUG